UCUAUUUAAACUAAUAAAAUGUAUUUUUAUUUUCAGAAAAACGUAUUCACAAGAGUCUGAGAUGAGAUCUUUGGAGACGGCAUGAUUUUGGCACUCAUCCAGCUGAGUCUUCAGUACCGCGAUUUCAUCCUGAAGUUGCCUGUUCAGUUGAAUUUGUGCUUCAGCUUUCCCCACACGUUCUUCCAUUGUUUUCACAGCUUUCCGCAGGUUCGCCAUUUCAGCCGCUAUUUCGCCAAACCGCUGCAUUACUCGCUCUUCAGAUGUUUUCACUCGUUCCGAAAUCUCUUCGAUGAUGCUCCUUCUCUGCAGCUCGAGUUGUUCCUCUAUCCGCUCAAGCCAGAAAGGAGGUGGCGAGCUCCCUUUUUUCUUCGCUUUGUUUAGAGUGUUCGCGCUGUUUUGCGGAGUGGAUACCGUUUGGCGUGUGAUUUUUCCUCUGGUGCGUACACUAAAUUAUUUUCACGGCCACGGAGUUAGAUAGUGAUCAAAGAGACCCGUAUUAGCAAAAGACUAUAUAAGAUAGGUGGUCACAAACACAAGUAAAUAAAAGAUAACUGCAGCGCACAAAAAAACACGUCUACUCUGUUUGCAUAUGCAUAUGGUAAUUUGCGGGUAUCUUUCUUUUGGUACAGCAAUAUAAACGGCGAUACUAUAUACAGCAAUAUAAAAAUUAUUAUAAUAAUUUUAUUAUUAUUAUUAUUAUAAUUUUAUUAUGUUAAAUUACUUUAAUUCAUGUUCAUUUUCUAAC